rnacentral:misc_RNA from 1 species
CCUUUUCCUAUUUCAAUCACCUGCAUCAAUUACGCAUAUUUUACCAAAACCCUUGUCAAGUGAGAUUUCAAAGACAUUGCAAAUUUUAUUUAUUAGUUGGUCAAAAUUUCCAUUUAUUCUAGAUUACAGAAAACUGCAUAUUCAAAUUGAACUGCAAAAGUAAUAUAAAAGGCAACUGUGCUAAACUAACAAAUUUUAUUUUUAUAAUCUCAUGUUUUUGAGAAUAGAAGUCAAAAAGAGCAGAAAGCCAGAGACAAGUUACUUUCAUGUCAACCAUACAAGUUGAAAAGGAAAGGAAAGAAAUAGACAUCUUAGCCAUCAUGCUUCGUUAUAUUCAAGCUAGUUCUUUAGCAUCCAACAUACAAGGCAACAGAGAUUAAACAAAUAGAUAAUUAAUGGGGAUAAAGAGCUGGUAAUUGUCAUGGAAACAACCACUUUUAAAUUUCUGUUGACAAGGAUAAAUUGAGAUUCUAUAAUUUAGUAGCAUGAGUAUUCCAAAUCUUAAAACAGCCUUAAAUUAAAGAAGUAAUGAAAGACAAAACAAUAUUAUCUAAUCCCAGCAUGCGCUACUGCAAAUACAAGUUCAAAGAACAUUGCAUGGCAGAUGGUUGCUAAGAUUCAUUAUACUUACACAGUUGAAUAUCUUAGGAGCU